GAGGAGUCCGCGGCCGAUUAGCUAGUUGGUGGGGUAAAGGCCCACCAAGGCUGAGAUCGGUAGCCGGCCUGAGAGGGCACACGGCCACACUGGCACUGAAACACGGGCCAGACUCCUACGGGAGGCAGCAGUGGGGAAUCUUGCACAAUGGGGGAAACCCUGAUGCAGCGACGCCGCGUGAGCGAUGAAGCCCUUCGGGGUGUAAAGCUCUUUCGGCAGGGAAGAUUAUGACGGUACCUGCAGAAGCAGCUGCGGCUAACUACGUGCCAGCAGCCGCGGUAAUACGUAGGCAGCAAGCGUUGUUCGGAGUUACUGGGCGUAAAGGGUGUGUAGGCGGUUGUUUAAGUUUGGUGUGAAAUCUCCCGGCUCAACCGGGAGGGUGCGCCGAAUACUGAAUGACUAGAGUGCGGGAGAGGAAAGUGGAAUUCCUGGUGUAGCGGUGAAAUGCGUAGAUAUCAGGAGGAACACCGGUGGUGUAGACGGCUUUCUGGACCGUAACUGACGCUGAGACACGAAAGCGUGGGUAGCAAACAGGAUUAGAUACCCUGGUAGUCCACGCCCUAAACGAUGCAUAUUUGGUGU
rnacentral:rRNA from 1 species